GAUGAACGCUGGCGGCGUGCCUAAUACAUGCAAGUCGAGCGAAUGGAUUAAGAGCUUGCUCUUAUGAAGUUAGCGGCGGACGGGUGAGUAACACGUGGGUAACCUGCCCAUAAGACUGGGAUAACUCCGGGAAACCGGGGCUAAUACCGGAUAACAUUUUGAACCGCAUGGUUCGAAAUUGAAAGGCGGCUUCGGCUGUCACUGAUGGACGAACCCGCGGCGCAUUAGCUAGUUGGUGAGGUAACGGCUCAAGAAGGCAACGAUGCGUAGCCGACCUCGGAGGGUGAUCGGCCACACUGGGACUGAGACACGGCCCAGACUCCUACGGGAGGCAGCAGUAGGGAAUCUUCCGCAAUGGACGAAAGUCUGACGGAGCAACGCCGCGUGAGUGAUGAAGGCUUUCGGGUCGUAAAACUCUGUUGUUAGGGAAGAACAAGUGCUAGUUGAAUAAGCUGGCGCCUUGACGGUACCUAACCAGAAAGCCACGGCUAACUACGUGCCAGCCGCCGCGGUAA
rnacentral:rRNA from 1 species